AUGCAUAUGGGCAUGGAUGGGAUCACAAUACACACGGCAGCAUGCUUUACCAUAGCAUUUUUGUUUCUCACCACAAUCAUCUCCGAGAUCAUUGCAAGAAUCAGAACCAUUCAUCUUACGCGCAAAGGAAAGAGAUCAUCAAUUACUCUGCGCCCGCCACAAGUUGUGAGUGGAGCUCCUCUAAUGGCAGCCCUGUUCACACUUGUGACCCCCAAGAAGGGUUUACAUGCUGCAAUCCAUGAACUACACAUGAAGAUGGGAAGUGUGUUCACAGUGAACCUUUUCGGGCUAAAGAAGGUGACAUUUUUGGUUGGGCCAGAGGUCACUCCUCAUUUCUUCAAGGGAUCGCCAUCCGAGAUCGACUUCGGGGAUACAGCUAAGAUCAUUGUGCCCGUCCUCGGUCAAGGAGUUCUGUUUGGUGUGGACAUGGCUACCAGGAAUGAGCAGAUCCGAUUUUGUACCAAGGCGAUACAGCCGGCGAGGUUGCGAAGAGAUGUUCAGUCCAUGGUUUGCGUAGUGGAGGACUACUUUGCGAAAUGGGGACAAAGUGGUACGGUUGAUUUAAAGCAUGAGCUUGGCCACCUAAUCGUGCUGAUCGCAAACAGAUGCUUGCUUGGCAAUGAGAUCAAAGGCAACAACAUGGAAGAAGUGUCGAGACUCCUCCAUGAACUAUUUGAAAACAGCUUCCACAUGAUCAACUUAUUCUUCCCGCACCUCCCAAUUCCGCCGCACCGCCGACGCGACGAAGCGCGUGCAAGGCUGGGAGAAAUACUCCACGAGAUAGUCAGAUCACGUAGAAGAAUUAGCCCAGCCCGAGUCAUGGACAGCAAUGAUGAUGACGAAGGCGAUGUGUUGCAGAGCUUCAUAGACUCAAAAUACAGUGAUGGCCGAUCCAUGACAGAGAGCGAGAUUGUUGGGCUACUCAUUGCCAUCUUGUUCGCCGGGCAGCACACGAGCUCAAGUACCAGCACCUGGACAGGAGCUUGCCUGCUAAGCAAUCAAAAGUACAUGACAGCUGCCAUGAAAGAGCAGAAGAAAAUCAUUGAGCAAAAUGGAGAACCCAUAGACUACACCAUCUUGUCAAAGAUGGAUGCCUUGCGUUGCUGUAUCAAAGAGGCACUGAGGCUUUAUUCUCCGACACCAUUACUACUCCGUCAUGCACACAAGAGCUUCACCGUGCAAACCAGGGAUGGCAUGGAAUAUGAGAUCCCAGAAGGGCAUGCUUUAGCAUGCUCCAUAGUGGUCAGCAACAAGAUGCCUUACAUUUAUAAGAAUCCUAAUGUGUAUGAUCCGUGCCGGUUUAGCCUGGGGAGAGAGGAGGACAAAACCAGUGGCAAGUUUUCAGACAUAUCCUUUGGUGCUGGGAGGUAUUCUUGCUUGGGGCAGGAUUAUGCUUUCAUGCAAAUCAAGGUGAUAUGGAGCUAUUUGCUGAGGAACUUUGAGCUCGAGUUAAUCUCUCCUUUCCCUGAGCUAGAGAAUGACAAAAUAUUACCAGGACCUAGAGGAAAAGUGAUGGUUGCUUACAGGAGAAGGUCAAUAGUUAAUUAG
rnacentral:rRNA from 1 species